rnacentral:misc_RNA from 1 species
NNNNNNNNUCUCACCAAUCCCACCAUAUAAUAUGGGUAAGGAGAGGAUGAUGGCCUCACAUGUCACACUUGGCGUGGAUGGCUUAAAAGAGGAGCCUUUUGGUUACUAGAUGCCAUGGCGAUUGGUGGUAUAAGCUUCUCGUUAUGGAAUAAGUAGCAUAUUUGGCAUCGUAGGACCCUUUGUUAACCUUU